CAAUCACAUAGGGAAAAAUUAGUUUUCAUUUAUAAUUCAAGAAUGAGAAAGCUUGUAGCCAUAGCACUCCUUGUUUGCUUGGUUUCAUCAAUGGGUGGCAAAGCACAAGAUGACCAAGAUUUAUAUUGUGUUGGUCUAUGUGAUGAAGAUUGUGGUCAAGUUUGCAACACAUUUGGAUUUGGUGAAGCAGCUGGUUGUUUUCCAAUUGGGAAUCAAGAAAAUAAUUUAUAUUGUUGUUGCAUUAGUGACAAUUAAAUUAAAUUAAAUGUAUCGGCUUACUAAAUACUAAAUAAACAAAACUUAGAUGUUCACAAGUUUAACUUUACAUUAUGUUAUCUUUAAA